CCACUGGAGGCACAUCAACAACGGGCAAGGGCAGGGCAAACCAAACCAAACCAAAGCUCUGAGCCUCCACCGGUGGUUCCUCUAGUACAGCGCAGGCUUUGAACAAACGUGUUACUCGCUUAAGCAGGCAGCCAUGGCAACAUGGGACAGAAUCAUAAGUGGACUUCCUCAGGGCAGAAUUGGGGGAUCCCAGGGGAAUCCACAAUGCCGAGUUGAGAGGAUCCAGAAUCAGGGACCGUGAGUCAUGAAAGAGAGGAAAACCUGAGUGGUAGAAACUGAGGAAGUGUGGCUGGAACUUGGCUGGACUAAACCAUCUAUGUCCAGGGCAGCUGACCAAGCCUACAUCCUCACAGUAGACAGGAGUGGGUUACAUCCUGAAGUAACACACGGACCACACACUUUUGGAACCUUGACAGUUGUAACACGAAAGACGGGGGUUUGCCUUGUUCUUCUCAGGUUUUUCGCCAUGAAGAAACUGACCUUUAUCCCAAGCCUCAUUUUAUGGCGAAGGAAACGACUCAGGGAAGUUAACAGCUGACAGCUGUUAAUGUCAGAAAAGAGAAGCCAGCAAACCCAGAUUCAGGGGCCAGGAGCUCAGUUUCAUUAAAGGCUUAUGUGGCCGGCACAGGGAGGAACACCGCGCGCAGUGCCUCAGCCAACAGCACUAACGGGAGGGGGUGCUCACCUCAUUCCCACUUUAUAGUUGAGAAAACCAACGCAGAGAAGCUAACUCUCCCCAGCAUCCCUCAGCACGCAUGCGGUUCAGCUGGGUUUGGAACGGUACUACUUCACGGACAAGGUUUAGAUGGGGAGUCAGAACCGAGAAUGUGAUCUAUCACUUUACACUAGCUACGUAAUUCUGAGUAUGGCACGGCCCUACUGAGCCUUAGGGGCCAGAUCUGCAAAAUGGGCAUAUAACACUUAGCUUGUCUGGGUGUGAGAUCCUUUAAUUAAAGCCGCCAGCACAAAGCCUAAGAGCAGGAUUCAGUAAAGACACUAUAAUACCUUCUCUUUGCCUAAUCUUGAACUCAAGUCUUACCAGUGAGGACUAACAAUUUGUCAGCACCCCCAGCGGACCUGCAUAUGUGAAAGAAUGUAACAACAUCUUUUCAUCACAUGCAGACCUAGGCCAAUCUGCUUUGUUUCUGUUAAGGAAAGGCUUUUUCUCGUCCAUCUUAAAUGAACUUUAAGGUGAAUAUAAUGGAGCCAAAGGUUUUUGACUUUCUCUGGUCCUUGUGCUAAGUAGACUCAUAAAGGGCCAUCAUCACAGGAAAAGUGCCAAUCACCAAAGGCCCUCCAGGGACCAGCUCUGUGAGCAGGCCAGGCCUGACUUGGAGAUCACAUCUUCUCUAGAUGAGGCCCGAGACUGUGGCUCAGGGAACUGCAGAAUGUAUAACUCACUCUCAACCCAACCCAAACACCUCAUACCCCCACAUGAAAUGUUGCUCCAGAGUUUAUAGCUGGUGAAGGGAGAUGUCCUAGAGUGGCUGUGGGUUGGUCCAAAUAUUCCCCCAGCUGUCUACACGUGGGGCUGACGUUGAAGCCUGGGUUAGAAUCCACUGUCUGCCUCCUAUUAGGCGCUUUUAUGAGCUCAGAGCAUGACUAUCUGGUUUGCAUUUGCAACACAGAGGGAAGAAAUAAGGGGCAGCAGAGAGGCUUUCUAAAGGAUACCUUAUGGAAGUUCCUUUCGCCAGAAAGCACCUAAUUGAUGAGCAGGCAACGUAACAGGAGGGAGCUGGGGAAAGAACCCCACGUGGAGAGAGUCAGGGCACCAAGUUCUGGUCAUCUAUACCCCUACUACCCGUGCUCCAGAACAAAGCACGGACCCACCCAGCCUGAGCGUCACCAGAAAAUGAUAAAACCAGAUUUGAUAUGCUCUCAGAUUCCUUCCUGCUUGAAAAUUCUACUUCAGUUCUUCAUGAAACCCCUUUAUGACUCUUUAUGAAUUCUGAGGAGACCAUGUGAAUACCUAGCAUAAUGUGUUGCCUAUAAUUGGCACUUGGUAAUUGCUUAUUCAUUCAUAAAUGAAUGAACCAAUGCUGAUAAGGAUACAAAUAAAGGUUAUUUAAAAAAAAAGCAGUCACAGAUAUAUUACGUCCACGUGUACACCAUAUACAUACAUGUACUCUUAUAUGUUAUUUUACUUCAAGUUGCCUAUUGUGACCUCUGUACUAGACAUUGUAGGGAGAAGCAGAAUAAUUCAGACCCCGGCCUCACUCCCCAGGACUAGUGAUCUAAUAGAAAAGAUAAAGACACAAGGAUAAAAGGAUAGCUCUUGGACAGGACAAGCUACAGUUCACAGUGAGACAUACUAAUGUAAAUGUAACAGGCACUUUAGAGCCAGACAUGGUAAGAUUUUAUAUGAGAAAGAGAUGAACAUGCCCUGUAUCAUGAGGAUACCAGCAGGAAGCAGAAGGCAUACUCAAAAGGGUUUAAUGAGAAAGAGCUUUAGGGCGCCUGGGUGGCUCAGUUGUUAAGCGGCUGCCUUCGGCUCAGGUCAUGAUCCCAGAGUCCUGGGAUCGAGUCCCACAUCGGGCUCCCUGCUCAGCGGGAAGCCUGCUUCUCCCUCUCCCACUCCCCCUGCUUGUGUUCCUGUUCUUGCUGUCUCUGUCAAAUAAAUAAAUAAAAUCUUUAAAAAAAAAACAAAACAGAAAGAACUUUAUGGAGGGGCUACU